rnacentral:misc_RNA from 1 species
CUGAGAGUAACGUCACAUCCUCAUCUCGGGCCCGACGCGCGAUCAUGGAUCACGCGUGGGAUGGCUGCGCACUGUGCACGCUCUUGCUCCUUCUGCCCCUGAAUUACCGGUUACACCACACGGAUACACGAUGAAUCGCUGCUAUGCCGCUGCGGUGCUCCUGCUCCGUAACAGCAUUGACCUUCUUGAUUCGAUCGCGUGCUUUUGGCCAGAAGCGAACACAACAUCGUGACCUUACACCCUCGUUCAUAAGCGUUAGGACACGCACGUUUCGUCUUUAUACGGCCACUUAUUACCAAGAACAGGAGAGACGCGAUUGUUUCCACCAGUGCCGCCCAACUUUUCUUCCAGACGAAACCACCCCCGAAGACUUGGUCUCCCUAACCUAGGGAAUUGUUAUAUCGAUCGUAGAAUAUCGGCGAAUCUGUGUAUAAAUUUAAACUUUUUCCAAUAAAGAAAUGAAAUCUAAAUGGAUAUUUUACAUCGAAUAUUUUGCAUAGUCUUGCGAUUGUAUACGUCUAGUUGCCGUAUUUUAUGUAUCUUUGUCACGCGUCUCGAAGAAAGACAAAAAAGAAAGAAAUUCUCAAAAUGAAACUGACCAGGACUGAAUUUAGGAAAUCCAGCUACGAAUUAAAGACAAAAGCGGAAAAAUGUUCAUUUGAGAACCUCUCCGUUCGAAGGUACGGCGAAGU